GUAGGGUCCAAGCGUUAAUCGGAAUUACUGGGCGUAAAGCGUGCGCAGGCGGUUGUGCAAGACCGAUGUGAAAUCCCCGGGCUUAACCUGGGAAUUGCAUUGGUGACUGCACGGCUAGAGUGUGUCAGAGGGGGGUAGAAUUCCACGUGUAGCAGUGAAAUGCGUAGAGAUGUGGAGGAAUACCGAUGGCGAAGGCAGCCCCCUGGGAUAACACUGACGCUCAUGCACGAAAGCGUGGGGGGAGCAAACAGGAUUAGAUACCCUGGUAGUCCACGCCCUAAACCGAUGUCAACUAGUUGUUGGGGAUACAUUUCCUUAGUAACGUAGCUAACGCGUGAAGUUGACCGCCUAGGGAGUACGGUCGCAAGAUUA
rnacentral:rRNA from 1 species